CCGCCGGCGACCGGCGCACGGGUGAGUAACACGUAUGCAACCUGGCCGUGACAGAUGGAUAACCGGGAGAAAUCCCGCCUAAUACAACAUAAUGCCGGGAGGGGACAUCCCCUGCCGGCCAAAGGGGGCAACCCCGGUCACGGAUGGGCAUGCGGCGCAUUAGGUAGUUGGUGGGGCAACGGCCCACCAAGCCGACGAUGCGUAGGGGUUCUGAGAGGAAGGUCCCCCACAUUGGAACUGAGACACGGUCCAAACUCCUACGGAAGGCAGCAG
rnacentral:rRNA from 1 species